CAAUGCCGCGUGGGUGAAGAAGGCCUUCGGGUUGUAAAGCCCUUUNGGCGGNNGAAGAAAUCGGUCAGGCGAAUAGUCUGGCUGGAUGACGGUACCCGCAGAAGAAGCACCGGCUAACUACGUGCCAGCAGCCGCGGUAAUACGUAGGGUGCGAGCGUUAAUCGGAAUUACUGGGCGUAAAGGGUGCGCAGGCGGCCCUGUAAGACCGGUGUGAAAUCCCCGGGCUCAACCUGGGAAUUGCGCUGGUGACUGCAGGGCUAGAGUACGGUAGAGGGGGGUGGAAUUCCUGGUGUAGCAGUGAAAUGCGUANAGAUCAGGAGGAACACCGAUGGCGAAGGCAGCCCCCUGGGCCUGUACUGACGCUCAUGCACGAAAGCGUGGGGAGCAAACAGGAUUAGAUACCCUGGUAGUCCACGCCCUAAACGAU
rnacentral:rRNA from 1 species